ACUACACAUGCAGUCGAUCGGUAGCACAGAGAGCUUGCUCUCGGGUGACGAGUGGCGGACGGGUGAGUAAUGUCUGGGAAACUGCCUGAUGGAGGGGGAUAACUACUGGAAACGGUAGCUAAUACCGCAUAACGUCUUCGGACCAAAGUGGGGGACCUUCGGGCCUCACACCAUCGGAUGUGCCCAGAUGGGAUUAGCUAGUAGGUGGGGUAAUGGCUCACCUAGGCGACGAUCCCUAGCUGGUCUGAGAGGAUGACCAGCCACACUGGAACUGAGACACGGUCCAGACUCCUACGGGAGGCAGCAGUGGGGAAUAUUGCACAAUGGGCGCAAGCCUGAUGCAGCCAUGCCGCGUGUAUGAAGAAGGCCUUCGGGUUGUAAAGUACUUUCAGCGGGGAGGAAGGCGAUAAGGUUAAUAACCUUGUCGAUUGACGUUACCCGCAGAAGAAGCACCGGCUAACUCCGUGCCAGCAGCCGCGGUAAUACGGAGGGUGCAAGCGUUAAUCGGAAUUACUGGGCGUAAAGCGCACGCAGGCGGUCUGUCAAGUCAGAUGUGAAAUCCCCGGGCUUAACCUGGGAACUGCAUUUGAAACUGGCAGGCUAGAGUCUUGUAGAGGGGGGUAGAAUUCCAUGUGUAGCGAUGAACUGCGUAGAGAUCUGGAUGAGUACCGGUGGCGAGCGCAGUCCCGUGGACGAAGACUGACGCUCAGUGCGAAUGCGUGAGGAGCGAACAUGAUUAGAUACCCUGAUAGUCACGUCGUAAACGAUGUCGAC
rnacentral:rRNA from 1 species